GGGUCAGUAGGUUGGUCGUGCCACCGGUACGUACUGGUCUCACUGAUUCCUCCUUCCUGAAGAACCGUAAUGCCAUCAAUUUGGUGUUGCGGGGAAACAGGACUGUUACUUUGAAAAAAUUAGAGUGUUUAAAGCAGGCUAACGCUUGAAUACAUUAGCAUGGAAUAAUGAAAUAGGACGAUCGAUCCUAUUUUGUUGGUUUCUAGGAUUGACGUGAUGAUUAAUAGGGAUAUUGGG
rnacentral:rRNA from 1 species